ensembl:lncRNA
CCUGUGUAGAGAAAAGAUGGUACUCCUCAGGCAGGAUGCAGGAGUGGGGGUAGAAGUUGUACUCCCCAGGCAGGAUGCAGGAGUGGGGGUAGAAGUUGUACUCCUCAGGCAGGAUCCAGGAGCGGGGAUAGAAGUUGUACUCCCCAGGUAGGAUCCAGGAGCAGUGGUAGAAGUUGUACUCCCCAGGCAGGAUGCAGGAGUGGGGGUAGAAGUUGUACUCCCCAGGUAGGGUCCAGGAGUGGGGGUAGAAGUUGUACUCCCCAGGUAGGAUGCAGGAGCGGGGGUAGAAGUUGUACUCCUCAGGUAGGAUCCAGGAGUGGGGGUAGAAGUUGUACUCCCCAGGCAGGAUGCAGGAGCGGGGGUAGAAGUUGUACUCCCCAGGUAGGGUCCAGGAGCGGGGGUAGAAGUUGUACUCCUCAGGUAGGAUCCAGGAGUGGGGGUAGAAGUUGUACUCCUCAGGUAGGAUCCAGGAGUGGGGGUAGAAGUUGUACUCCCCAGGCAGGAUCCAGGAGCGGUGGUAGAAGUUGUACUCCCCAGGUAGGAUCCAGGAGCGGUGGUACUCCUCAGGUAGGAUCCAGGAGUGGGGGUAGAAGUUGUACUCCCCAGGCAGGAUGCAGGAGUGGGGGUAGAGGUUGUACUCCCCAAGCAGGAUGCAGGAGUGGGGGUAGAAGUUGUACUCCCCAGGCAGGAUCCAGGAGCGGGGGUAGAAGUUGUACUCCUCAGGCAGGAUCCAGGAGCGGGGGUAGAAGUUGUACUCCUCAGGUAGGAUCCAGGAGUGGGGGUAGAAGUUGUACUCCUCAGGUAGGAUCCAGGAGCGGUGGUACUCCUCAGGUAGGAUCCAGGAGCGGUGGUACUCCCCAGGUAGGCUCCAGGAGCGGUGGUACUCCUCAGGUAGGAUCCAGGAGCGGUGGUACUCCCCAGGUAGGCUCCAGGAGCGGUGGUACUCCUCAGGUAGGAUCCAGGAGCGGUGGUACUCCCCAGGUAGGCUCCAGGAGCGGUGGUAGAAGUUGUACUCCUCAGGUAGGAUCCAGGAGCGGUGGUACUCCUCAGGUAGGAUCCAGGAGCGGUGGUACUCCCCAGGUAGGAUCCAGGAGCGGGGGUAGAAGUUGUACUCCUCAGGUAGGAUUCAGGAGCGGUGGUAGAAGUUGUACUCCUCAGGUAGGAUUCAGGAGCGGUGGUACUCCCUAGGUAGGAUCCAGGAGCGGGGGUAGAAUUUGUACUCCUCAGGGAACAGCUCCUGCAUGGUCCUCACCGCUCGGCUCAGGUUGAUCUUUCUCAGCA